GACAGAGGGGGCUAGUGUUGUUCGGAAUUACUGGGCGUAAAGGGUGCGUAGGCGGUUCUUUAAGUAGGAUGUUAAAGGCAUAGGCUCAACCUAUGUUCUGCAUUCUAAACUGAAGUUCUAGAGUCUGGAAGAAGAAAGUGGAAUUUCUAGUGGAGAGGUGAAAUUCUUAGAUAUUAGAAAGAAGAUCAAUGGCGAAGGCAACUUUCUAGGACAGUACUGACGCUGAGGCACGAAAGCGUGGGGAGCAAAC
rnacentral:rRNA from 1 species